AUACUCCAGUGGGUGCUGGGACCAACAUCUAGUCAUUGAUGUCAUCAUCCGUGUCAGAUGCCAUGGAAACUUUCAAAUGGCUUUUACAUUCAGAAAUGCUGUUCUGGUUGCUCAACCUGUAAAAUAAAGAGGUGCCAGAGUCCAACUCCAGCUGAGUUCGGAGCUCAAGAAGGGUGCGUGGAG